ensembl:lncRNA
UGAAACUGCAAGGCUGUUUUACAUGCCUUUUUGUCCUCUUUUGCACAAGGAGCCUCUGCAUUUGAAUCCCUUAACGCCCCACAGCUGUCAUGCUAGCAAGACCCAGGAAACUUUAGUAUUUCAGCCACUCUGCCUCCAGCGGCUGAUCUGUUUGAAGGCUGAGGGUAUAGGGGAAAAGCUGCUGGACUUCAAGGACACGAUGAAAUUUGGUAAGAAAGCAGUAGCUGAAGGAGUAUGA